rnacentral:rRNA from 1 species
CGACGUAGGUAACCUGCCUUGUAGCGGGGGAUAACUAUUGGAAACGAUAGCUAAUACCGCAUAACAAUGGAUGACACAUGUCAUUUAUUUGAAAGGGGCAAUUGCUCCACUACAAGAUGGACCUGCGUUGUAUUAGCUAGUAGGUGAGGUAACGGCUCACCUAGGCGACGAUACAUAGCCGACCUGAGAGGGUGAUCGGCCACACUGGGACUGAGACACGGCCCAG